rnacentral:rRNA from 1 species
CCUACGGGGUGCAGCAGUGGGGAAUAUUGGGCAAUGGGCGCAAGCCUGACCCAGCAACGCCGCGUGAAGGAAGAAGGCUUUCGGGUUGUAAACUUCUUUUGACAGGGAAGAGUAUAACACUGUACCUGUCGAAUAAGCCACAGCUAACUACGUGCCAGCAGCCGCGGUAAUACGUAGGUGGCAAGCGUUCUCCGGAUGGACUGGGUGUAAAGGGCGUGUAGCCGGGUUGACAAGUCAGAUGUGAAAUCCUGCGGCUUAACCGCAGAACUGCAUGUGAAACUGUUGAUCGUGAGUACGGGAGAGGCAGACGGAAUUGCUAGUGUAGCGGGGAAAUGCGUAGAUAUUAGGAGGAACACCAGUGGCGAAGGCGGUCUGCUGGACAGCAACUGACGGUGAGGCGCGAAAGCGUGGGGAGCAAACAGGAUUAGAUACCCCGGUAGUC